GAGGCUGUGGGAGGAAAGAGGAAGUAAUGGAUGGCAUCUCAGGAAGAUCAAGAAGGAAGAGUGAUGAAUCUAGAUGAAGAACAGCUCUAAGAGGUUUGGAUACCCAUGGAUCCAUGCUGCUGGCAGAGUAGGGCCAGUGGCAUUGCAGCCUUUAAGAGUUCCUUUGUGCAUGCUGCAGUGCAGUCCUAACAUUACUAAAGACUGCUGUCUGCUGUACCAGGAAUCCGCAAGAGCUGUGCCCAGGUACCCCUGAAGAACAGGCUGUGUCAAAACUGUAAGGAAACGUGCUUUUGCUUUGUGUUCGGUUUCUGUUUUAAGGAAGCAGGGGUUGGAACUAAUGAUCCAGGAUCCAUAAAUUUUAUGUAAAUUUAAGGAUUUCUAAAAAAAAAAAAGAAAACCCAUUAUUAACAGUGUUCAAAGCCUCGACGAUGUACUUUUACUAGAUAAAAGACUGGGUUCAGGCUGUCUGCUGGGGAGAAGGAAAAAGAAAGAAGAGAAGGAAGGGAAAAGAGUAGGAAGAAGGAGGAAUGAUGAGGAUCCUUGGGAAAAGAGAGAGCGCUUUAACUGACAGCUUGCACCCAUUAAUGACUCUGAGUCAUUAUUGAAUCAGCAGAGCUAUGAUUUCCCCUUGGAUCUUGGCAAACACCCAUCCUGACUGUGGGCAGCGCCUUCCCAUGGGCUGUGGACUCAACUGAAUGGUAAAAGAGAAAUGGAGUUGAGCACCAGCGUCCAUCGCUCCCUGCUUCCUGACUGUGGAUGCAGUGUGACCAGCUGCCUCCUGUCCCUACACCGCAUCUUCCCUGACACAAUUGUAUCCUUAAACUGUGAGCCGAAAGGAACCCUUCCUUCCUUACGCUUGUGUCAGAUGUGUUGCCUCAGCCACAAGGAAAAUAACCAAUAUGGCUCCCAAGACCUGCUUUAUAUAUAAAAACUGAAAACUAAUUUUUUUCAUGUGUAUAUGCAUGUGUUCCAUAUACAUGUUUAUGGAUUAGCAUCUGUUCAUGUGGAAGCCAGAGGCUGACAUCAAUGUCUUUCUCAGCUGUGCUCCGUUUUCUUUCCUGGGGCAGGGUCUCUUGGCGGGACCUGAAGCUUGUCAAUCCUUCACUGUCUAGCUGGCCCGCUUGCCUGGGUAUCCUUGGUCCCUACCUCACGAAUGCUAAGAUUGUAGACAUCCUUCACACUUUCUCAUGUUUUACAUUGGAGCUGGAGAUCCAAACGCUGGUUCUCAUGCUUGCCAGGCAAGCACUUGGUCCAGUGAACCUACUACCUGGCUCCUGAAAAUUAAAUUAUUUAAAUGAAGCAACUCCCAUUGGAUUCAAAUAGAAACCAUUUGGCUUAAGGGCUUACCUGGCCCAUUUGGGUAGACUGUUUCUGUAGUUAACUCGGACCCUUGCUGCUCUGUAAGUUAAUUUCCCGCAGGUUUGGUCCCUGAGUUUUUUCGUAAAAUUGGCAUCUUGAGUCUUGUGCAUUGGGCAUGCUGACGGAGUGGCAGUUUGCAAAGUCUUUUAAUACACGGCCUUCACUAAGUGCCCAUUCGUUAUCCAGUGUGACCUAUUCAAUCUUACAGAGAAGGUAAGCAGGUACCAGAGAGGCCAGCGAACCUGUCACAGGGACAUUGAGGAUGUCACAAAGAAGACUGUGUAGUGCUCAGAGCACCAAAUGCUAAGGACCUCCAGCCAGUUGUCUGUCUUGGGAGCUCCCUUGUCUCGGGACCAAAAUACCCUUUGAUGCAGCACAAUGCAGCCACAGCUGCUCAAAAUAUUCCCUAUUCUGGCAACAAAUAACUCACGAUGUCAUUACCUGUCUGAUGCCUUUUGAAGCGUCACCGCUCCCGAGAGUGCUCUGUCACCGGGAUGACAGCCCCUCAUGUUGUACAGUUCCCAGAAGGUGACAUUUGGCUUUUGUGCUUUAAAAGGCCCAAGACAGAUCAUAGAAAGUGCCGGUACAUUCCAGAAAGCAGAAGGCUCACUUUAGAGCAUCCAGUGGAUGAAGAGGGGGAAACAUCUGAUAAUAUCUAUUUAUUCUGUCCAUCAAAAUUUGUCUCAGUUGUGGUUCAGUUAAGAAAAAGUUCUAUAAGGACUGGAGAAACUGGUCAGUCAGUAAAAUGCUUGCCGUUAAGCAGGAAGACGUAGGUUCAACACCGAGACCCACAUUUAAAACAAAGCAAAGAGCUGGGCAUAGUGGUAUGCGCUUAUAAUCCCAGUGCUGGGGAGGGUGGUUCCAGGUCAGACUGAGUGACCCCAACAUUAAAAACAAGGCAGAGUCCAGUCAUGCACAGCUAUGCCUGGCCCCAGCUUGACUGAAUCUUGUCUUUCUUUCCAAUAGAGAAACCACUCAGCCUUUUCUAUCAAGACCUCGAUCACGAGGACUUUUACGUUCUGAAGGCUGUGCAAUCUGUUGCAGUUACGUACUUGAUUUGGCCUUUCAGCCCUAAACAGAUGCAGAGCUGAAGAGAGAAGUUUGCCUUGCUCCAGUACAACCAAGACUGGCAUCGGGCCAGACUGGGCACAUGAGGUGUUGGAUUAGUUCCUUUUUGAGGGAUCGGGACCAAAGUAAAUGGUGGGCUAUGUGUGACGUUCAGUUGGUGGUGUGUUUGCCUAGCAUGCCUGGAUCUCUGGGUUUCAUCUCUAGUACCAUAUAAAACCAGGUAUAGACUCAUGCAUCCCUGUAAUCCCAGUAAUGGGGAAGCAGAAACGGGUAGAUGGAUUCCUAGGGUUUGCUGGCCAGCCAGUUCACCCUGCUCGGUGAGUUUCAGGCAAUGAGAGAACCUGUCUAAAAUAAACAAGUUGAACUGCCCUUGAGGAUGACCCCUGAGGUUGUACACACACACACCCCACCUGAUUGAGAGGGUCUCAAUAUUACAAGCUGUACCUCUUGCUUUUACAUAUAAGACGGGAGAUCUAAGUUUAAUGGUCAUCUACAUCUCCCUAGCUGUGUGAACUUGGAAGUGACACCUAGUCUCUUUGAGCGUCGGGAGCUUCCACUUUGAGUAGCAACAUGAAUUCUGCCCGCCAAAGAUUUCCGUAAAGAUUAAACAGGAGCGGUAUCAAAGCUCCGUGGUAAGCCCCACUUUUUAAUGUAUAAAUACAUAGCAAAGUGCUUUUCUUUUAAUAUGAACCGAAUUCUCAAAGAGAUUAAACCUGAAGGGGAUUUAAUCCUUCCAGCAGUGGGCACUGUUCUUGAAGUUGUAAUCCACCAUGGAAUCAGGGGGAUCAUUUAGACAUUGCCAGAGUCUCAAAGGUCUGAGAAUAGAUUUUCAGAUGUCUCCAAGGCCAGAAUUUUAAUAAAAUGUACAUUGAGUGUAAAUUA